rnacentral:rRNA from 1 species
AAACCAACAGGGAUUACCUCAGUAACGGCGAGUGAAGCGGUAACAGCUCAAAUUUGAAAUCUGGGUCUUUCAGGCUCCGAGUUGUAAUUUGUAGAAGAUGCUUCGGGUGCGGCUCCGGUCUAAGUUCCUUGGAACAGGACGUCAUAGAGGGUGAGAAUCCCGUAUGUGAUCGGUUGCUUGCGCCCAUGUGAACCUCUUUCGACGAGUCGAGUUGUUUGGGAAUGCAGCUCAAAAUGGGUGGUAAAUUUCAUCUAAAGCUAAAUAUUGGCCAGAGACCGAUAGCGCACAAGUAGAGUGAUCGAAAGAUGAAAAGCACUUUGGAAAGAGAGUUAAACAGUACGUGAAAUUGUUGAAAGGGAAGCGCUUGCAACCAGACUUGCGCGUUGCCGAUCAUCCGGGGUUCUCCCCGGUGCACUCGGCCUCGCUCAGGCCAGCAUCGGUUUUGGUGGUGGGAUAAAGGCCUUGGGAAUGUAGCUCCUUUCGGGGAGUGUUAUAGCCCUCGGUGCAAUGCCGCCUACCGGGACCGAGGACCGCGCUUCGGCUAGGAUGCUGGCGUAAUGGUUGUAAGCGAC